AGCAGCAGCAGCAGUAUCCUUUGAGCCCCUGAGACAGAGUUUUAAGAAGGUUUGGACAGCAACUGCAAAACUCAUUGAAAAAAGAGAGAGUCCUAAACCCUCUGAGCAACAAGGGAGCGGUAUGAACAGUCCAUGAGGAUGAAGGCAACUCUGCAGGACUCCAUGUACCCGAUGACACUGAUGACAACUGCAGACAAUGAUGUAUCAAUAUGAAAAAAGAGAGGUUCAAAAGAAAUUAUAGUGAUAAAAACAAAAUUUGUACCUUAAAGAGAUAAACUAUCUGUUACUAGAACUAGCAUAAAGUUGUAGUAUCCUUACCAACAAGAGGUGACUGAAGAAGAUAUUGUUAAAUCAGUCAAAAUGAAGGACAUCAAAGGUGUCUUCUUUCUACAUGCACCCACUGCGAUGGGAAAAACCCAAAGAAGUUGGUAGAUUGCAAAGUCUAAAGUUAGAUACAUAUUCAAGGUUAUCAAGAAAGAUAAAAUGAAAAUAAAGCUUUGCAAGAUAAAUAUAACUACCAAGAAAAAGAAAUAAGAAAUUACAUUUAAAGAACACAUAUUAUUUAUAAGAAAAAAAUUGUCUUUGAUAACCUAACAUAACACCAUAACCAUAUCAGGACUCAGAUAACAGAUAAGCUCAAAAGUUGAAUCCAGAGACUCCCUACAACAUCAACUAAAAAUAAUGAAGAAAAUAUUAAAAAAUUACUAGAAGAAUAGACAACCCCUACCAGGCAACCACUAGAACUUUGGUGAGGAAGCCUGAUCAUCCUUUUCCUUUCUAACUUGACCAGGACUGAAUAAAGAAAACUUUAGUCGUUUCAUAACAACGUCAUGUAUACACUAGCUGACAACUCUCUUGUCCUCUAAAUUAAACAAAGCUGUCUUGUUAACACAAUCAAAUGAUUUUUGUAUCGGACAUCAACUUUCACGAUCUCAUUUUUCAGGUUAUAUUAAUAUUUCCAUCAGGUUAUAUUAAUAUUUCCAUCACAAGUGGAGAAUUUCUCCACUGAAUAGAAGAUAGGUCAGAAUGCAUCAUUCAGGCCUAACAGUACAAUAGAAAAAUUCACAGAACCUUUAAGAUAAGCAACUCACCAAGCUUUCACUUCCCAACACUGAUACCUUAUCAGUGCCUCAUUCACAGUCUUAAUACUAAAUUUGCAUUUGCUGUAUCUUCUCAUCUACAUAAGCAACAAUAAGAUUGACAAUACGAUCAUCUUAUAUUUUGAGACAAUAAGCUGAAUAAUUUUCAGAGCCCUUUUUCUAUAGUAGCAUUAGCACAUAGUUAGAUCGUAAUCAAAGGCAUGUCCUCAUGUGCAGGCAUCUAUCUUAUCGCCCUCUCACAUAUUUUUAUGGCAUAUUGCUUCCAAUGGACAUCUGCAAAAAUAUCAUAGACUCGGUAUGUAGAUUCUUGAUGAAAGUAUCAAGUGCUCUUUUAAGGGGAUUCAUCAUUUGAGGAGAAGUAGACUACUCAAAAAUCUAAUGCCCAUGAUAGGUAAUAUGAAAUUCUGGCACACGUCUUGCAUUUAAGAGACAACAAUCAAACAAGAACAUAUGUCACACAAAGAUUGAUUCGACAAUAACAAAAAAGAAGAGUUUAACUGACUUUGGAACAGCUAAAGUAGUCCCUCUAGAAAGAACCUUCAUAACGAGACUGUGCCUGGCCAAGAAUGAUAACGUUGAAGUAGCGCAUGUUUCUUCUCAUGGAGAUGCAUUGAUCCCAAGUGCUGCAACAAAAGAAACCAAGAUGAAGUCAACAAGGAGGAAAAAAACCAUGACACUCCAAAUAGACAAUGUAUCAACAACAUGUCGUGUUUUGAAUCCCAAAUAACAUCAAUGGCUGACUACGUAGAACAAUCCGCCCAUAACACUAUCGCAUAGGAAUCGACGAAAACGAGGAGGAGAACCACCUGGUUCGCUGACGUUUCCCGUUCGAACGAAGCGUCAAGAAAGAAAGAAAAGGAAAAUAAAUCAGAUCUUCGAUCGAAAUCCCGUGGAAGAAGGGGACCGGAACCCUAUAUUAGGGAGACGGAAUCUCGGGGGAUGAAGGAGACCGGAAGAAGCACCAAGAAAGGAAGAGAGAAAAGGAAAAGAAAUUAGAUCUUCGUUCGAAAUCUCGGGGGAAGAAGGGGACCAGAACAUAUAUCAGGGAGACGAGAAGAAGCACCCCCGGAGGAAGAUUGCUGGUCGUCAUGCCCGAUCCAGAUUAGGUCUUUGCGUCGUUUCUUGGAGUCGGAGACGAAGAAGAAAUAAGGGUCGGACAACGACGACGAGAACG
rnacentral:lncRNA from 1 species